GAGGCCAGGCACAGUUACACCAUAAAGCAGGCAUUUGUUAAAAGGCCUCCACGGAGCCACCUUGGGCAGAACAAGAGCCCAGCCAGGCUACGCCCAAGAUGAACCAAAAUGGCCACAAAAUGGACGAGGUCAUGAGGAUCAUUGGGAAAAGGACAGAAACUGGGGCCACUGAAAAGACCCUGGCUGGAAUCCUGGUCUUGCUCAGGACAGUUGUUCACCAAGACCCUGAGGCCUGAGCAAAGCCCUUGGCUUGCCAAGCUGUUGUUUGCAGGUGUGUUUGCUUCCAUGGAAGACUGAACCUAGUGAAAAGGAGACACCUUGCCCUUUUCUUGUGCCUGCUUCACAACAAUGGCCCUGGAAUUUCCCCGCCUCUCAGCUUGGCUGGACUUUUCUGGGGUACCUUUGGUGGUCCCCACAGAAGACCCCACAUCUGCUUCACAGCCACCGUGAUGGACUGAGAUGGGAGAAGCCUCUCCCUCAAGGACUGAGACAUGAGACCCCUGUGUGGAGAAGCUCCCCCUCCUCCCAAGGACUGGGACUGAAACCCCUCACCUGGGGGAGGUGUGUGGGGGAGGCGAGCUGACCAAAGUGAGAUGUGCACCUGCAGGUGUGACCAUUGGACCAAGAAGACAGUGGUUCUCACCCACUGCUGAGAAUAUGGACUGUUUGUACCCUUCUUCAAUACCUUUCUUUUUUCCCCCCCAGAAAUUACAAUAGACUAUUCUGUACUACUUUUGAUUCGAUUUCAAGACUCAUCCCCUUCCCCCAUCAAAAAAGACUAUAACAGGAGUUCGAAUCGACCAGAGUCUUUGAGAUCUCCCCUGACGUGACCAGGCAAGCUCCAUCGACUGAAGACUUUGAAGGCCUUUGUGUCUCUACUUUUGCUAGCUAUAUAGCUUCCUUUCUUUUCCUCCCUCUUUUUUCUUCCUCUUCCCUUUUUCCCCAAUUCCCCCCAAUGCAUUUUGCUGUGGUCAUUGAAUAAAAGUGCAUUUGGUUUUUGAUUGUUACUGCAAA